GACGAACGCUGGCGGCGUGCUUAACACAUGCAAGUCGAACGGAAAGGCCCUGCUUUUGUGGGGUGCUCGAGUGGCGAACGGGUGAGUAACACGUGAGUAACCUGCCCUUGACUUUGGGAUAACUUCAGGAAACUGGGGCUAAUACCGGAUAGGAGCUCCUGCUGCAUGGUGGGGGUUGGAAAGUUUCGGCGGUUGGGGAUGGACUCGCGGCUUAUCAGCUUGGUGGUGGGGUAGUGGCUUACCAAGGCUUUGACGGGUAGCCGGGCUGAGAGGGUGACCGGCCACAUUGGGACUGAGAUACGGCCCAGACUCCUACGGGAGGCAGCAGUGGGGAAUAGUGCACAAUGGGCGGAAGCCUGAUGCAGCAACGCCGCGUGCGGGAUGACGGCCUUCGGGUUGUAAACCGCUUCCGCCUGUGACGAAGCGUGAGUGACGGUAAUGGGUAAAGAAGCACCGGCUAACUACGUG
rnacentral:rRNA from 1 species